rnacentral:rRNA from 1 species
CCAACAGGGAUUGCCUCAGUAACGGCGAGUGAAGCGGCAACAGCUCAAAUUUGAAAUCUGGCCCCAGGCCCGAGUUGUAAUUUGCAGAGGAUGCUUCUGGCGCGGUGCCUUCCAAGUCCCCUGGAACGGGGCGCCAUAGAGGGUGAGAGCCCCGUCGGGUUGGCCGCCAAGCCUGUGUGAAGCUCCUUCGACGAGUCGAGUAGUUUGGGAAUGCUGCUCUAAACGGGAGGUAGACCCCUUCUAAAGCUAAAUACCGGCCAGAGACCGAUAGCGCACAAGUAGAGUGAUCGAAAGAUGAAAAGCACUUUGAAAAGAGGGUUAAACAGUACGUGAAAUUGUUGAAAGGGAAGCGCUUGUGACCAGACGUGCGCCGGGUGUUCAGCGGGCGUUUUCGCCCGUGCAUUCGCCCCGGCGCAGGCCAGCGUCGGUUUGGGCGGGGGGAUAAAGGUGCCAGGAACGUAUCUCCCCCGGGAGUGUUAUAGCCUGGUGCGUCAUGCCCCCGCCUGGACCGAGGUUCGCGCUCCGCAAGGACGCUGGCGUAAUGGUCCCCAGCGGCCCGUCUUGAAACACGGACCAAGGAGUCGAGGUUUUACGCGAGUGUCUGGGUGUCAAACCCGCACGCGUAAUGAAAGUGAACGUAGGUGGGAGCUUCGGCGCACCACCGACCGAUCCUGAUGUUUUCGGAUGGAUUUGAGUAGGAGCGUAGGGCCUCGGACCCGAAAGAUGGUGAACUAUACUUGGAUAGGGUGAAGCCAGAGGAAACUCUGGUGGAGGCUCGCAGCGGUUCUGACGUGCAAAUCGAUCGUCAAAUCUGAGUAUGGGGGCGAAAGACUAAUCGAACCAU